ensembl:piRNA 21ur-13110 ncRNA
UUAAAGAGGUUUUGAACAAUG